rnacentral:rRNA from 1 species
UACAGAGGUCUCAAGCGUUGUUCGGAAUCACUGGGCGUAAAGGGUGCGUAGGCGGCGUGGAAAGUCAGAUGUGAAAUCCGGAGGCUCAACCUCCGAAUUGCAUCCGAUACUACCGUGCUCGAGAGCUGUAGGGGGAUCUGGAAUUCUCGGUGUAGCAGUGAAAUGCGUAGAUAUCUGGAGGAACACCGGUGGCGAAGGCGGCAUCCUGGACCAACACUGACGCUGAGUGAGCGAAAGCCAGGGGAGCAAACGGGG